UACCGCCGGCGAAUUGGCGUCGGCGAAGGACCAAACGGGGUCAACAGC
rnacentral:ncRNA from 1 species